AGAGUUUGAUCCUGGCUCAGGACGAACGCUGGCGGCGUGCUUAACACAUGCAAGUCGAGCGGAAAGGCCCCUUCGGGGGUACUCGAGCGGCGAACGGGUGAGUAACACGUGGGUAAUCUGCCCUAGACACAGGAAUAACCAGUGGAAACGCUGGCUAAUGCCUGAUGAUGUGCCGGCCUUUCGGGGCUGGUACCAAAGGUAGCUUCGGCUUCCGGUCUUGGAUGAGCCCGCGGCCCAUUAGCUUGUUGGCGGGGUAAUGGCCCACCAAGGCUUCGAUGGGUAGCUGGUCUGAGAGGACGAUCAGCCACACUGGGACUGAGACACGGCCCAGACUCCUACGGGAGGCAGCAGUGGGGAAUCUUGCGCAAUGGGCGAAAGCCUGACGCAGCAACGCCGCGUGCGGGAAGAAGGUCUUAGGGUUGUAAACCGCUUUCAGCAGGGACGAAGGCGUCCGGGUUAAUAGCCCGUACGUUGACGGUACCUGCAGAAGAAGGUCCGGCUAACUACGUGCCAGCAGCCGCGGUAAUACGUAGGGACCAAGCGUUGUCCGGAAUCAUUGGGCGUAAAGAGCGUGUAGGCGGCCUGUUAAGUCUUGCGUGAAAUCUCGGGGCUCAACCCCGAGCGGUCGUGAGAAACUGGCAGGCUAGAGUGCGGGAGAGGAGAGUGGAAUUCCUGGUGUAGCGGUGAAAUGCGUAGAGAUCGGAAGGAACGUCAAUGGCGAAGGCAGCCACCUGGCUUAAUACUGACGCUGAGGCGCGAAAGCGUGGGGAUCAAACAGGAUUAGAUACCCUAGUAGUCC
rnacentral:rRNA from 1 species